rnacentral:rRNA from 1 species
GAUGAACGCUGGCGGCGUGCCUAAUACAUGCAAGUCGAGCGAACGGACGAGAAGCUUGCUUCUCUGAUAUUAGCGGCGGACGGGUGAGUAACACGUGGAUAACCUACCUAUAAGACUGGGAUAACUUCGGGAAACCGUAGCUAAUACCGGAUAAUAUUUUGAACCGCAUGGUUCAAAAGUGAAAGACGGUCUUGCUGUCACUUAUAGAUGGAUCCGCGCUGCAUUAGCUAGUUGGUAAGGUAACGGCUUACCAAGGCAACGAUGCAUAGCCGACCUGAGAGGGUGAUCGGCCACACUGGAACUGAGACACGGUCCAGACUCCUACGGGAGGCAGCAGUAGGGAAUCUUCCGCAAUGGGCGAAAGCCUGACGGAGCAACGCCGCGUGAGUGAUGAAGGUCUUCGGAUCGUAAAACUCUGUUAUUAGGGAAGAACAUAUGUGUAAGUAACUGUGCACAUCUUGACGGUACCUAAUCAGAAAGCCACGGCUAACUACGU